rnacentral:misc_RNA from 1 species
UCAAACUUGGUCAUUUAGAGGAAGUAAAAGUCGUAACAAGGUUUCCGUAGGUGAACCUGCGGAAGGAUCAUUAUCGAGUUUAUGGUACUUCGGUGCCUAACUCCCACCCUUUGUGAACUUCUUAACUGUUGCUUUGACCUGCCCGGUCUUCGGACCCCUCGGAUUCGUCUGGGCAGUGCGGGUCAAGGAAUUUUUAAACCAGUUUAAUUUGAAAUCUGAGAAAACAAAAUAAAAACAAAACUUUCAACAACGGAUCUCUUGGUUCUGGCAUCGAUGAAGAACGCAGC